CUCACUCUGUCACCAAAGCUGGAGUGCAAUGGCAUGAUCUCAGCCCACUGCAACCUCUGCCUCCCGGGUUCAAGCAAUUCUCCUGCCUCAGCCUCCUGAGUAGCUGGGAUUACAGGCAUGUGCCACCAUGCCUAGCCAUAUGUUGGUGUUGGUGUCUAUGCACUUGUGGAAACAGUCACUUCUUCCAGACUUAAGACUGGCUUCAGUGGGGAAAGACCUACACCUGCAGGAGAAAAGAAGUACAAAGUCUGCAAUGUGGAAGAAGUCCUUCAACAGAACCCAAUCAUGCUGGCACCCUGAUCUCAGACUGCCAUCCUCCAGAACUGUGAGAAAUAAAUAUUUGUUGUUUAAGCCACCCAAUCUAUGACAAUUUUUUAUGGCAGCUUGGACUAAGACACAUAAUGAUGUAGACACUGUUCUAACCCUAAUUUAAGUGAUGAGGAAACAGUCAUAGAAAUGCUGUAGCUAGAUAAAAUACAAGAUUUGGGAUGGUUGUGGUGGCUCAUGCCUAUAAUCCCAGUGUUUUGGGAGGCUGAGG
rnacentral:lncRNA from 10 species